rnacentral:misc_RNA from 1 species
UUUCCGUAGGUGAACCUGCGGAAGGAUCAUUAAUGAGUUGUCAUGGGGUUCGAUGCUGGCAGCCAAUUUUUGGAUGCAUGUGCUUGCCCUAACAAUCAUCUUCCAAACACCUGUGCACAUUUUAGAGGGAGUCUUGAGUUGGUUGCCGCUCUUGGGUGAUUUUCUCACAUUCCCUUAAAUCAUUAUACGCUAUUAACAAUGUUGAACGUGCUCUGUGCCGCAAGGCUAUUAAUAUAAUACAACUUUUAACAACGGAUCUCUUGGCUCUC